AGACCUUUAGUUUGAACCCCGAAACCAGGUGAGCUACCCCGAGACAGCCUAUAUUGAUUUAGGGCUAACCCGUCUCUGUGGCAAAAGAGUGGGAAGAGCUCCGGGUAGAAGUGACAGACCUACCGAACCUGGUGAUAGCUGGUUGCCUGAGAAGUGGAUAGAAGUUCAGCCUCGCACACCCCAAGCCAGAGAAUACACCGCUAAGGCACUCAGGGAAAUGUGGGAGAGUUAGUUAAAGGGGGUACAGCCCCUUUAACAAAGGAUACAACCUUUGCAGGAGGAUAAAGAUCAUAAUAUAUAAAACAUGCUGCUCUAGUGGGCCUAAAGGCAGCCACCUAAACAGAAAGCGUUAAAGCUCAGGCAGAAAGAAGUUUAUUAUACCGAUAAAAAAUCUUACUCCCCUAAUUAUAUCAGGCCAACCCAUGCCAACAUGGAAGAGAUUAUGCUAAAAUGAGUAACAAGAAGACCUGCUCUUCUCCCAGCACAAGUGUAAGCCAGAUCGGACUAACCACUGGAACUUAACGAACCCAACCCAAGAGGGUAGUGUGAAUAGUACAGACCCCAAGAAGAACUCACAACUAAACAAUCGUUAACCCCACACUGGAGUGCUAUUAUAAAGGAAAGACUAAAAGAGGGGGAAGGAACUCGGCAAACACAAGCCUCGCCUGUUUACCAAAAACAUCGCCUCCUGCAACUAUAUUGAGUAUAGGAGGUCCAGCCUGCCCAGUGACUACGGGUUCAACGGCCGCGGUAUUUUGACCGUGCAAAGGUAGCGCAAUCACUUGUCUCUUAAAUAGAGACCUGUAUGAAUGGCUAGACGAGGGCUUAACUGUCUCCCCCCUCCAGUCAGUGAAAUUGAUCUAUCCGUGCAGAAGCGGGUAUAAUUAUACAAGACGAGAAGACCCUUUGGAGCUUACGGUACAAAAUCCAACCACGUUAAACGACCCCCUAAAGGGCAAGAACUUAGUGGCCAAUGAAGUUUUACCUUCGGUUGGGGCGACCACGGAGGAGAAAAAAGCCUCCGAGUGGACUGGGUUAAAACCCAAAGCUAAGAGAUACAUCUCUAAGCCGCAGAACAUCUGACCAAAAGUGAUCCGGCUAAAAAGCCGAUCAACGAACCAAGUUACCCUAGGGAUAACAGCGCAAUCCUCUCCCAGAGUCCAUAUCGACGAGGGGGUUUACGACCUCGAUGUUGGAUCAGGACAUCCUAAUGGUGCAGCCGCUAUUAAGGGU
rnacentral:rRNA from 1 species